CUACAAAUGAAUUGACGGGGGCCCGCACAAGCGGUGGAGCAUGUGGUUUAAUUCGACGCAACGCGAAGAACCUUACCAGGGCUUGACAUCCCCUGACCGCGUAUGAAAGUACGUUUUCACCCUCGGGUGACAGGGAGACAGGUGGUGCAUGGUUGUCGUCAGCUCGUGUCGUGAGAUGUUGGGUUAAGUCCCGCAACGAGCGCAACCCCUACGUUUAGUUGCUAACGCGUGAAGGCGAGCACUCUAGACGAACUGCCGUUGACAAAACGGAGGAAGGUGGGGAUGACGUCAAAUCAUCAUGCCCCUUAUGUUCUGGGCUACACACGUGCUACAAUGGCCGGUACAGACGGACGCAAAGCCGCGAGGUGGAGCAAAUCCUAAAAAGCCGGUCUCAGUUCGGAUUGCAGGCUGCAAUUCGCCUGCAUGAAGUCGGAAUCGCUAGUAAUCGUGGAUCAGCAUGUCACGGUGAAUACGUUCCCGGGUCUU
rnacentral:rRNA from 1 species